CCAGUCGGCCGGGCGGCCGCUGCCCGUUCGCGGGUGGAGGAAAGUCCGGGCUCCAUGGAGAAACGGUGGCGGCUAACGGCCGCCGGGGGCGACCCCAGGGAAAGUGCCACAGAAAACAGACCGCCGGGGCGUGCUCCGGCAAGGGUGAAAAGGUGCGGCAAGAGCGCACCGCGUUGCCGGCAACGGCAAUGGCAGGGCAAACCCCGCCGGGAGCAAGACCGAAUAGGGGCAGCGCGCGACGGGCAACCGUCGCAGGGGUCUCCGCCCCGGCUGCCCGGGUUGGUUGCACGAGAUCCGCCGCGAGGCGGAUCCCAGAGGAAUGGCCGCCACGUCGGCGCUUUCGGGCGCAGGCCAUACAGAACCCGGCUUACAGGCCGGCUGGACCU
rnacentral:RNase_P_RNA from 1 species